AUGUUAGUUCUAUAGUUUUUAAAAUUCAAUAUUUACAAUAAUUGUUUUGAUGUGCUGACCUUAUUUACGAUUUAUAUUUUAUGCGAAGUUUUUUGAACGCCGUUUUCUUAUUUUACGACAACGCUUCUGAAGAUGACUAAUUAGUCGAAACAUGUAAAGCGGAUUUACUUAUAAUAAACCAGUAUAAAAGUACAAUUAGUGAUUUAUAAAAAUCAAAAUUCAAUCAAAUAUCAU